rnacentral:rRNA from 1 species
GCUUGUCUCAAAGAUUAAGCCAUGCAUGUCUAAGUAUAAACAACUUUAUACAGUGAAACUGCAGAUGGCUCAUUAAAUCAGUUAUAAUUUAUUUGAUGAUUAACUUUACUACAUGGAUAACCGUAGUAAUUCUAGAGCUAAUACAUGCGUCAAAACCCAACUUCUGGGAGGGUUGUAUUUAUUAGAUGGAAACCAAUGCGGGGCAACCCGGUAUAUGGUGAUUCAUAAUAACUUUCGGAUCGAUCUUCGGAUCGAUGCAUCAUUCAAGUUUCUGCCCUAUCAGCUUUGGAUGGUAGGGUAUUGGCCUACCAUGGCUUUAACGGGUAACGGAGAAUUAGGGUUCGAUUCCGGAGAGGGAGCCUGAGAAAUGGCUACCACAUCCAAGGAAGGCAGCAGG